rnacentral:lncRNA from 1 species
CAGCUGCAUUCAUAAAACAGUCCUGCUCGAAGAAAUUCAGAGCAACAACAUGUAGCUUGGCAGAGAAAGUGCGUGUGGGCACAUGGACCGAGCGAUGCUGUAAGUAGAAGCAAGAAUACAUCCGACAAGGGGGAGUUUCUCCACGCAAAGCGCAUGCAAUCCCUACAAAAAUUCCCAGUGACUUCAGAUCCAAGGAGGUGGUGAUACUCAUGCGAGCACGAUUCAAACUCUCAGAGUAAGAAUACAGCCUCAGAGCCCAGAGCCAGCGCGCUGCUCUCUUUGCCCCUCUUUUCUUGUUCAACAUAAACUAAAGAGACGCAGAUAGAAUAAUGUUUGCGUAAAACAGCAUCUUUUUUCAGCGCGGGGAAACGAAAAAAAGCUGAUAGUGUCUCCGUUUUCGGACUGUAGAAAAGUAAAGACUUGAUAACCUGAAGACAUUCUGUUUACGUCUUACCUGGGCAUUAUGAAGAGGUAUCCGGGCAUUUUUCAUUGUUGGGAGAGGAUGCGGUCUUGCUGAGCUCGUGUAAAACGGUUUCUCGUUUUAUUUUUAUUUUCUUCUUCGUUUUAAUUUUUGAGUUGCUCCUAUUUUAGUGGCUCUUGAUAGAAACGGUAACGCGUGUGCCCUUUUACGCGGUAGUUUCAAAAAACUUUGCAUGCCCAAAAUGGACCGUGCAGGAUUUGCUCUUUUAAUGUUUUUGACUGUUGUGCUCGUGCGAGUUGGUGACAGUCAAAGGGACGCGGCAGGUGGGAGGAAAGAGGGUGCGGGGGCAGGCCGGGCGGUCUGGGACCAGCUGCAGUCCCGGGGGAUCAGUCGAGGUCACUCGCCGAGGGGACCGCGGGACGCUUCGUCCUCGAGAACAUCCGGUGACUCUUCACCUGAGACCAGUCAGUCGAGGACUCUGGUCCGCCUGCCCAGGGGGACAUCAUCUCAGGAGAAUCGCAAGCACAUAUCCAAAGAAAGACCGGUCCAUGCUGCUGGCACCUCCGGGGAAGAUCUUGUCUCUGCGCCGAGGGAUGGUGCGCGGCGCACCGCCAGACACCCUGCCAGCCAGCAGCAACGAAACAGAGUGAACCGCAGGCAGAGCAGCAGGCACAGCUCUGCCAGCACUAAGCGACUUAUCGGGCCGAAUGUCUGUGGAGGUCAGCAGUGCUGCUCUGGUUGGGCUUUGGCACCAGGAACCAACCGCUGCAUAAAACGUAAGUGUCGUUAA